rnacentral:lncRNA from 1 species
GUACACAGUCAUGCUUAAGCAAACCACAAGCUUCUCCCAUGCAGGCUUGGAAUUCUAUGCAGAUGAGCCUUGAUUGAGUCAUGCUUGGAAAGCAUCAGAGAAGAAAGUACGUGAAAUACAUCAACCCAACGAAGAACCUUCUUUUGCUCCAGAUGCAAAUGAUUCAAGAGAGUACAAAUGGCCAAGAAACCAUGUCCACAGUGGAAACCCGGAGGAAAAUACUUAGGAAUUAG